AUUCAACUGUCUACAGCAUUCAUAUGCUUGGGAGAAUUUAUUUGUUUCUCCGGUUCGGUGAUUGUGGUGUCUGCCAGAGUGCUUGGAGUCCUCAGGAAGCGCUAGGAGCAUCCUUCAACGGGGGUACCCAGUCGGGGUGCCAGGCGAUCCAUUACAGUCACUAAUGCUGUCAACGUGAGGGGAUGACAUGUCUAUACAGUCAUGGCCCUCACUCAGGGUUUUCCAGAUGUGCUUUUUUCCUCAAAUAUGAGUUUUUGCAACUGGGUUUUUAGACCUGGCCCAAGU